UAGUAGCUCAAUGGAUAGAGCAACGGACUUCGGAUCCGUCGGUUGCAGGUUCGACUCCUGUCUGGC
rnacentral:tRNA from 1 species